AUUUUUAUUGGCCAGAGCCCAGUCACAUGACCCCAACUUAACUGCAAGGGAUGCUGGGCAAUAUAGUCCAGUAGUGUGGCUAGCAGGAAAAUUAAAGGGGUUUGGUGAAUCCAUUGCUCCUGCCAUCACCCAGAUUAAAGACCUGCCCUCUCAUCCGCUGCCUGUUUUUCUUAUGUCCAGCAGUCAGGGAUUGAGUGGGCAAGCACUGUGGGCUGCAGACACCAAGCUCCACCAUGAUUCCCCCUCCACUCUCAGAGGCUCCAUCCAGCUGGCAGGCUCACAGCACUGCAGCCCAGCAUCUGAAGUGGUACUGUCCCUAGGCUGAUGACUGUCACAUUUUUAGUGGGGCCAAAACUUUCCUCCAAGAUUCAGAUGUGUGUCACCAACUAGAGAGCAGGCUUGGAAUUUAAAA
rnacentral:lncRNA from 1 species